CCGCUUUUCCAAUCCCUGGUGUCUCUGAAGGGGCUUAGAGCUUUUAAAAAUAUUGUAAGGUUGAAGGCUCUACUUAACAAGGUUAAGCUGCUGCUUAGCUGAAGUGAAGGCAUCCUAAGGAAGGGUUUUUAACUUGUGAGUCCUCUUCUCACAGCUUUCUUACUGGGCGUCCUGGACUAAUAAAUGAUGAACAGUGGUAGUUGGGGCAGAGGGUAUCUGUGUUUGGGAGUUUAAGACUGUGUCUUUAUUUCACUUGUUUAUAUAUGUAUAUGCACACUUAUGUAUUAAAGGACUUUAUUGUUUGCCCAAGAAAUCAGAUUUCCUUAGAGCUCAAAGGAAAAUCUAAAUGUGAGACUUUGGGUGGAAACGCUGGUCAGAAGAUUUGCUUGGAGGAAAUGAAGCAUGGGCAAUGGUUCAGCUGCUCUCAAUGGCCAAUGAUGUUUCAGAAGGAGAACUAGUCAGAGAAAGUUCCCUUAAGUAGAUAAGAGGUAGAGAGGAGAAAGCCAGCAGGGUAAACGCUCCCACUAUGGGUGACUCCUUUGACAGUCAAGUGGAUUUAGCCCAAAGAGUGCAGGAAACCCUAUAAUCCUGAGUAUGUGUCUUUGGGAUAAUAGGAGAGACAUUAAGUAACUCAGGCAAAUUGAAAUCAGAGGAUGAGUGCCUGCACUUCCUAUUAGGUCAACACCAUCUCCUCUCUUUUCCCAUAUGUUUUUUUCUAUAAUGAUAAAAUUUGUCAUCUGUCUCAGGCUUUGUGGUACCAGGGUAGCAAUGCUUUCCUAUACUAAAAAGGGAGUCCAACCUUUCCUCCCCCACCCACACAUAGACACCGGGAGUCCAGAAGACUGGUAAUGACAAAAAAACCAAUGAGUUAUAACUGGAUUCCUCCUGUAAUAGUUUUCCUGCUUUCUUCAUGCCUUUAGAUGGUACUUAAGCACGUUGCUCUUGGCAACAAGCAUCCACAGAAAUGCUUGUUUCUUAGGAUGAGAUUAAACAGGUUCCUUUAUCACUGGAAAUGUUUGUGUUCAGCUGUUCUGCUUCAAGCAUGCUGCGGCCGGACCAGGCUAGCUGCUGGAGAGGGCGAAGGCGGCAUCCUUCCGUCCGCGGGGGCGUGGGCCACAAUGCCACGGUCUCCCAGCACGACAGUGGCUCGGAGGUACUGCAACAUUUCUUUUGUUACUUUAGCCACCCUUCUCUUCC
rnacentral:lncRNA from 1 species